rnacentral:tRNA from 1 species
GUAUGUAUAAUUUAAAAAAAUAUUAGAUUGUGAAUCUAAACAUGAAAGUUUAAAUCUUUCUACAAACC